CCAUGUGAUACUUUUGUAGAUUUACUUAAUUUUGGCUUACCAAUAUACUUCCAAGUUUCCUCAUUCGCAGUGAAGUAUUGGAGACAAAACUGGCUAUGUUUCGGUUUUAUUGCGAUCUCAUCAACAGAUUAUCGGCUUCACCGUAUAUGCGAAAUAGUACAAGAUUAUUUGUCGGAGUAGAAACAUUGUUAAGAGAAUAAAUUUAUGAAUCUGUCACUCUAUCACCUUCUCUUUAAAAUAUUAGAGAAACAAAGAAUAAAAAUAUGCUGUUGGAAAUAUACUAUAAAAACAAGACCUGAAGAUGCUUGAUGACUGGUCACUCGCUACGUUGAUCCGGAGUCUAGAGAACUAAGGAGGUGCCCGCGAAUUAACUGAUGAGUCCCUUCUUAAAAAACAAACAAAAGAAAUUCACAGUCCUCUUUAAUAUUGAGAUCGCCCACUUCGGAGAUACCAAAGCAGUUUUGUAAAAUUUCUUUCAGAAGCCCUGCUAGCUGUGAAGCUGUAAACUACAAGUGUUGUCCAGAAAGCAAAGCAAAUUUGGACAUAACUUGUUUUAUUGAGUGACAUAAAACGUUCAAAUUGUACGUUGGUUUAGUAACUUUUCCUCUCAAGUAAAUCUUCUUGUUCUUCAUUGUAGACAAUAGAUUCCAAGCAGAAGCAACAUGGUGCUAUUGAGUUCUUGAUAAGGGAGAGGUGCAGGCUGUCCACAGAAAACUACAGGUUUUUUUACGAAGAUGUCACCAUACAAGUUUUUUACGAAGAUGUCAGAUGGGUGAAGUUUUAAGAAGGGAAAAAUCAGCAGAUAAACCAUGCAGAAGGAGAUCACCAACUGCGGUCUCUAACACAAAUGAUGCUGGAAGACAUUAGGUAUCGGAAAGUGUGUGCAUAGUGGAUACUUACUUCGGCAGCUGACUGCCGAUUUGAAGGAGAGAAGAGUGGAAGUUCUCAUGGUCACUUUAUCAGGAAUAGCGCGAGGAAUUCUUCGCGAUGGGUGUAUGACUGGUAUAGCAUCUGGUUUUGACUUAAGUUGAGCAAUGACUAGAUAAGCUUCCAAGGCAUUAACACAGACCAGGGGAAUCUAGUGAUGAGUUCCCAGAGUUUACCUCAAGUCUUUUUAAUAAAAGUAAUUUGAAACAUUCGUUUCACAACUUUGUUGUUGCCUGAGCAUUUAAGUUAAAUCUGUUUGGAUAGUGUGCUGACGGUAACUCUUCAGUCGAACAUUAGCUGACAGUACUCCUGGAACUUCGUUUUAACAGUGAUGAUUUUAUUUUCAUCGUCUAGGUCUUCAAAUUCAAAAGAAUUGUGUUUGGGAUCUGACAAUGAAGAGAUAAGUUAUAACUUGGAUUUUUUUCGUACUUUUCCUUGACUCCUACGGCAAUGAAUAGAAGUCACAUUGUUCAUAUUUUCCCCAAGACCUUGUAAUUUUCGUCUAAACUUCCUUCAAAGCUCUGGUAUUUCGAUGGCUUCAAACUCAUCCUCUGAAGGCCUACUCUUUCCUCUAAAAAGCAUAGAGGGUAUAGGAAAGUGGGUUAUACAUCAUUAGAUGUACACCUGACUUUCCUAUAUUAAAUUGAGAAUUGAACGGAACGCUGAACUCCAAACUAUCAACACAAACAAUAUUUAUUCAUGGUGGAAAAUAUACAUCUUUAAUCUUGUUUGUUGAGACGUCUUCGGUGUGUGAGAACAUGGUUGUUGGGACGUUGGUAUAUUGAUGUGAGCUGUCUAGCGUGAGUUCGAGAGAUGGAGCGAGCUAGACACGUCCUUGCUCAAUCGCUGGCCAGCAAGAAAGAGAUCGAUCAAAGCGGGAAAGCUUGGUUGUUGAAUUCCACGCAUGCGUGAGACUACGCAUGCUCACGGCGUUACUACAAGGGUAAUGGAAUUAAUAAAAAUGGAGUUCAGCAAAACAAAUAUAAUUAAAAGAGAGAAUAAAUAUUCAUUUUUGCGGGUGCACCUUUCCUUUAUGGAAGUUACUUUAUUCUGGCACCAUGUUAUAUCAUGUCAUAACGACAUAGACAAUUAAAUAAAAUGAAAGAUUUUAUGUGGUUUAUCGGUCAGGUGGCCAUUACUGAACGGACACGCACUGAAUAUUUGAUUGAAAUAUUAUUGGUUAAAUAAUAAAUGAUAAGUAAUUUUACAAUUGGGGAAGAUUGAGGAAAAAUAGGCUAGCAGAGCAACGAACUACGGAAAAUUUCUUUGGGGGAAUGAGUUGUAUGGAAGUCAUCACUGACAACAUACUAAUGUGGGCUAGUUCCAACAAAGAACAUGAAAAGGGAUUGAAGUCCUCGGCUGUAUUGCUGAAGCAGGAUUUUAACUAAGCCUUGAUAUAGUAGAAAGUGGGAAAUUCGAAGUUAAUUAUGUUGGUCACAUAUUCAUACAGCUUGGUAUUAAAUCAAAUCCAGAGUGUGUGUAGUGUUGUUGAGAUGCCACAACCCACAAAAAGAAAAAAGAAAAAACGAAGACAUACUUGGGUUUUUAGGAAUGCUCACGUAUGUUGCAAAAAAUUUACCAAAGAUGAUAUGGAAUUCACAUAAAAUCAUGCACACAGGAAGGUUUUGAUAAACUAAAAGAAUUGAUAAUAAACGUGCCUGUUGUAAAGUAUUGUGAUAUCAAGAAACCGACUAUACUUUCUGUAAACAACUUACGAUCUAGAAACAUGUAAAUCUUUAUUACAGGCACGAUGGCCUCAUUUACAAAGAAAGGGAACAUUACAAGGACAGACAAUACAAAACGUGGGGUACAUAGAUCGAAUUAUGAGAUGAAAUGAGUAAAUUACAAUAUGAUGAUGGAAUGGCUUACGAGCCCCACAAAGCUCGCAGUUUCAUUUCACAGUUUUCUUAUACAGUUCUUAUUCUUUCAUUAUUAUGUAUGGUUUCAGCCCCUCCGCCGUUACGACGCUUGGCAAAGUGUUGUAGCCCACAUAUAACCCACUUAGCUGGAAAUCAAAUCUGUCUAUUUCUCGCAGCUUCUUCGCUAUCCAUUCCUCCACCACUAUUGCUUUUGUUUCAUCAUCAAACGUUCCGGGUUCUAAUUUCAGUCGUACCAAUCCUUUUAUCUUAGCUAUCUUUUUUUCCGUUUCUACACCCUUAUUGUAGAAAAGACGAUCUAGAAACAUGUUUAUUACAAGAUGACCAUUCCAUCACGUAUGUAUCACGUGCUUUAACGGAAACUCCAAAAGAAAAAACACAAAACGGUUACUUACAACUACAGAAGGAACUGCUGGCCAUAGUCUUUGGAUGCAGACGGUUCUAUGACUAUACGUGUGGGAAGACAGCCUUAAUUGAAACUGACCGCAAACCAUUAGUAUCAAUUUUCCGGAAUCUUUGGCUACUCACACCACACGUACAGAAAAUGAUUUUACACGUACAAAUCUAAGAAAAAGAUUUAUGUGUAGCUAAUUGAGCAUGAAGAUUUUCUCUAUGAUGAAUUGCUAGACGUUAAUGUUAUCAGCUCACUGUCAAGAAAGGGAUAUUCGUCGUAAGUGAAAUCAUAUUGGGAGUUCUGUGAUGAAACCAACUGGUUUUCAAAAGUUGAAUCACUCAGAAGUGAAAUUGAACAAAGUUCUACAGUCACGUCAAGACAUUGUAAGAAGAAAACAGAAACCCAGAGAUUUACUGUUUUAACCUGGCAUGAAUCCAUAAAUUCAGGAAGCAGUUGAAAACUAUACCAUAUGUGUCAGAUUCAGGACAGACAAUCCUAAAGAACUAUUACUGUUUCAUGAGAUACCAGAACAUCUUCAGUCAAAGGUUGGUGAUGAUUCAUUCUCAACUAAUGGUAAUGGUUAUGUAGUGACUUCAUUUAGGCAUAGAGUAGAUUCGAACCUGAAUCUGCCAAUUUCCUUUAAACAUUUCAACAGCGUUUUUCUCACAGAAAAACAAUAGUGACCGCAGUUACAUUUAACAUAUAGCUUUGCUAAGCCGAUUUAUGUAUUUGCCACUUGCCACUUCUAACCUCUUGUGUGCGGUGGAGAAUUGAAUUGAGAUAACGGUCGACCCUCAAAGAAUACCUAUUGUUCUCUGCAAUAUACCUAUUUUUCUAGUUAGUUUUGUACAGUUAUAAAUACAAGAACUCCGUAAGCCAAAGUCAGUUAGUGACCGGCUGAACGAAACACCGUCUCUGAAUGAAAAGGCACAGAGGGAAAACUAUGGUAACUAACCAACGAAGCAGUUGUCUCGUCCCACCACUCUUACAAGCUCAUUUCUCUUUUCUACAACACUUUAUCACUAUCUUUGGCUUACUAUUACAAUAACGAGAACCUGUACUCACUUAUACAAGAAGAAAUUAACUCUCUUAACCUCUCA